AGCAGCCGCGGUAAUUCCAGCUCCAAUAGCGUAUAUUAAAGUUGCUGCAGUUAAAAAGCUCGUAGUUGAAUUUCGGGACCAUCAUGUCGGUCGUGCCUCGGUGCGUACUGGCAUUGUUGGUUUCUACCUUCUGACGAACCAUGAUGUCAUUUAUUUGGUGUCGUGGGAAAUCAGGACUGUUACUUUAGAAAAAUUAGAGUUGUUUAAAGCAGGCUCACGCUUGAAUACAUUAG
rnacentral:rRNA from 1 species